rnacentral:rRNA from 1 species
CUAUAUCACCACAAACAGAAACUAAAGCGUAUGGAAAGACGUACUAAAAAAGGUGACAGUCCUGUAGGCUAAAAAUGUAAUGUUGGUUGACUAAAAAUGUAAUGUUGGUUGAAUUCGACGUAUAUUGUCGAAUAAAAGGGAAACCUCUCUCAAGGCUAAAUAUUAUAUUAGGACCGAUAGUGAACAAGUACCGUGAGGGAAAUCUGAAAAGUCGUAGUAACUUAACUAUGUUGAAACAGAACCUGAAACUCGUAGCGAAUAAAGACACUCCGUUAAGCAAAGUUUAAUAGAGUGGUGCCUUUUGAAUCAUGCGCUGAUGACUUUGCGUUUGAUUGUGGUUUAACUUGCUAAAGGUAAGCCUCUUAAUAGAAAAAAAACAACUAACGCAAGACGCGAAGCAAAGAGAGCUUUUUUAAGCCAAGAUGAAGAUCCGCGAAAGGGGUUUGGAGGUCUAAAGCAGUUCACGUUGCAACGUGUUUGUAUGAGCUUAGAAAAGAAGNGAAAUACUAAACGCUCUUUACAAUAUCUCGUUUCUCACGAAACCUAUUUAGGCAGGGCGCUAAAAUAAA